UACGUAGGGUGCGAGCGUUGUCCGGAAUUAUUGGGCGUAAAGAGCUUGUAGGCGGUCUGUCGCGUCUGCUGUGAAAAUCCGGGGCUCAACCCCGGACUUGCAGUGGGUACGGGCAGACUAGAGUGUGGUAGGGGAGACUGGAAUUCCUGGUGUAGCGGUGAAAUGCGCAGAUAUCAGGAGGAACACCUAUUGCGAAGGCAGCUCGCUGGGACGUAAACUGACGC
rnacentral:rRNA from 1 species